rnacentral:rRNA from 1 species
UACGGGGGGAGCAAGCGUUGUUCGGAUUUACUGGGCGUAAAGGGCGCGUAGGCGGUCGUGACAAGUCACUUGUGAAAUCUCCGGGCUUAACUCGGAACGGUCAAGUGAUACUGUCGGACUAGAGUACAGAAGGGGCAACUGGGAUUCUCGGUGUAGCGGUGAAAUGCGUAGAGAUCCGGAAGAACACCGGUGGCGAAGGCGGCCUGCUGGGCAGUGGCUGACACUGAGGCGCGACAGCGUGGGGAGCAAACAGG